UGAGCACGCGUUUAAAGCCAGGCACUUCAUGUGGGUGUUUUGGUGUCGGAAGUGUGCAAGAGUAAGGAGGCCGGGGUUUCGCUAACACCAUGAGGGCACCUGUCCUAUGACUGGGGUUUGAUAGUGACCUGAGCCACAAUU
rnacentral:snoRNA from 1 species